GUGUCAGCAGCCGCGGUAAUACGAAGGGGGCGAGCGUUGUUCGGAAUCACUGGGCGUAAAGAGUGCGUAGGCGGCGAUAAAAGUUAGGAGUGAAAGCCCAGGGCUCAACCUUGGAAUUGCUCUUAAAACUAUAUUGCUCGAAUUCGGGAGAGGAUAGCGGAAUUGUCAGUGUAGCAGUGAAAUGCGUAGAUAUUGACAGGAACACCGGUGGCGUAAGCGGCUAUCUGGACCGACAUUGACGCUGAGGCACGAAAGCGUGGGGAUCAAACAGGAUUAGAUACCCGGGUAGUCC
rnacentral:rRNA from 1 species